rnacentral:rRNA from 1 species
GGCCCCCUGUCGCAAUAGAAAUAGGGGGUCUGGCCUGCCCAGUGACAUAUGUUAAACGGCCGCGGUAUCCUAACCGUGCAAAGGUAGCGUAAUCAUUUGCCUAUUAAUUGUGGGCUAGUAUGAAUGGCUCGACGAGGAUGAAGCUGUCUCCCAAUAGGGUAUAUAGAAAUUGUUUUUUAGGUGAAGAGACCUGAAUGGAACUAAGGGACGAUAAGACCCUAUCGAGCUUUAGUGGUAUCCUAAAAUGAUGUAAUGGUAAAUUUAUAUUUUGUUCUUUGGGAGAAUCUUUGGUUGGGGCGACCGUGAAGUAGAAGAAACCUUUAGUUUUGUGUGUUGGCCGAUGGGCUAAGAUCUGGCAUGUUAUGCAGAUAAAAAGAAUAAGCUACCGUAGGGAUAACAGCGUGAUCCUUUUGGAGAGUUCUUAUUGAGAAAAGGGUUUGCGACCUCGAUGUUGGACUAAGGUUACCUGGAGGUGUAGCAGCUUUCGAGGGUUGGUCUGUUCGACCAUUAAAACCUUACA